UUUAUCUUUUUUUGGGUCUGUUUUUAUUUUUCGAAGCAAUUGUCUAAAAUGUUUUACCAAAAUGUUUUUGAUAUACAUUCCCGCGCUCUGCUGACCAGUCUUAUGCUACGCUUGCCUCUGUUCUGUAUUGGAAACAAAAAUGAAAUCUCUCUUUAAUCACAAAUAUCAUACCAAAUUCGCACUCUUGAACCUCAAAUUUGCAUCUUCACUUUCUAUUAUCGAUGACCCACCAAUUUUUUUGGGUAAAUAUGGAAGAGGUUCCAGUCCUUUUGACCCAAUUCAGUUCUUCAGUGAAUAUGCAAAAUCAAGAUUGUGCACCAUCACAAACACAAAAGUUCUGCAUACCCAUUUACUUAGAACAGCUGUUCUGCAAUCCAAUAUCUUUGUUGCGAAUUCUUUGCUUGAUUGGUAUUGUAAAUCUGCAGCCAUGGUAGAUGCACUAAAACUGUUUGAUUUGAUUCCGCAUCCAAAUAUCUUUUCAUGGAAUAUCAUGAUCUCGGGUUAUAAUCAGAAUGCUUUAUUUUUGAAUUCAUGGGGAAUUUAUUGCAGGAUGCAUUCUUCAGGUUUUGAGCCCAGUGAUAUAACCUAUGGUAGCGUUCUUUCAGCUUGCACUGCCUUACGAGCUCCUAUGUUUGGUAAGCAGGUUUAUUCACUUGCAAUGAAAAAUGGGUUCUUUUCAAAUGGUUUCGUUCGUGCUGGAAUGAUAGAUUUGUUUGCGAAAACUUGCAGCUUUGUGGAUGCUUUGAGAGUGUUCCAUGAUGUUUCAUGUCAGAAUGUGGUUUGUUGGAAUGCCAUUAUUUCUGGUGCUGUUAAAAAUGAAGAGAACUGGAUUGCUUUGGAUAUUUUUCGCCAAAUGUGUAGUAGAAAAUUAGUGCCGAAUAGUUAUACAUUUUCAAGUGUAUUAACUGCUUGUGCUGCAAUUGAAGACAUUGAAACUGGAAAAGGAGUUCAAGCUUGGGUUAUAAAAUGUAAUGCAGAAGAUGUCUUUGUAGGUACUGCUCUUGUUGACUUGUAUGCCAAAUGCAGAAAAAUGGAUGAAGCUGUCAAGAAAUUCUCACAGAUGCCAAUCCGCAAUGUGGUUUCUUGGACUGCCAUCAUUUCUGGUUUCGUGAAGAAGGAUGAUUCUAUAUCUGCCGUCAAAUUUUUCAGAGAUAUGAGAAAAACGGGAGAGGAGGUAAAUAAUUACACUCUCACAAGUGUAAUUGCAGCAUGCACUCAACCAACCAUGAUUGAAGAGUCUACCCAAAUUCAUUGCUUGAUAUUGAAGACUGGUUUUUAUUUAGAUGCAGCAGUGGGGGCAGCUUUGAUUAAUAUGUAUUCAAAAGUUGGAGCUGCAGAUGUAUCUGAGAGGGUGUUUCAGGAGAUGGAGAAUUUACAGAACAUGGGUACAUGGGCUGCAAUGGCAUCUUCUUAUGCUCAGAAUCAAGCCUCUGGAAGGGCAACUGAGUUGUUUCAGAAAAUGUUGCAGGAAAGUCUGAAACCAGAUGAAUUUUGUACCUCUAGUGUCUUGAGCAUUAUAGGCUGUUUAGACUUUGGGAGACAGAUCCACUGCUACGCUCUUAAAAGUGCUCUGGGUUUUUAUUGUUCUGUUGGUUGUUCUCUUUCGACAAUGUACUCUAAAUGUGGUAGUUUAGAGGAAUCUUAUAAAGUUUUUCUAGAAAUUCCUGCCAAAGACAAUGUUUCUUGGGCAUCGAUGAUUGCUGGUUUUGCAGAACAUGGCUUUGCAGAUCAAGCCCUUGAAUUGUUUAGAGAUAUGCUGUCUGAUGGAGUUAUGCCAGACAAUAUGACUUUAAAUGCAGGUCUAACUGCAUGUGCUGUUCUUCCUUCCUUAAAAACAGGUAAGGAAAUUCAUGGUUAUGCUCUUCGUGCAGGACUUGGAAAUGAUAGAGUUGUUGGUGGUGCACUUAUAACUAUGUAUUCAAAGUGCAGUGCUUUAAAAUUGGCAAGGAGUGUGUUUGAUGUGCUGCCCGAAAAAGAUCAGGUUGCAUGGUCUUCCUUAGCUUCAGGGUAUGCCCAAAAUGGGUAUAUUGAAGAGGCAGUUUUGUUAUUCCAUCAUAUGCUGAUGGCUGAUUUGGCCAUUGAUUCCUUCAUAGUUUCAUCUAUUCUUGGGAGCAUUGCGCUCUUGAACAAAACAAGUAUCGGAACUCAACUGCAUGCACACAUCAUUAAAAUGGGUCUGGAUUCAGAUGUUUCUGUUGGCAGUUCACUAGUGACAAUGUUCUCAAAAUCUGGAAGCAUUGAAGAUUGUUGCAAAGUAUUUGAUCAGAUUGAGGAACCUGACUUGAUCGGUUGGACUGCUAUGAUUGUAAGCUAUGCUAAAAAUGGGAGAGGUGCAGAAGCUUUAAGAGUUUAUGAGAUUAUGAAGAAAGAAGGGAUCAAACCUGAUUCAGUAACCUUUGUUGCAGUUUUAUCUGCUUGUAGCCAUAGUGGUUUGGUUGAGGAAGCCCAUUUUCACCUUCAUUCAAUGGCUAAAGACUAUGGUAUUGAGCCUGGUUAUCGUCACUAUGCCUGUAUGGUUGAUCUUCUUGGCCGGGCAGGGAGACUGGAAGAGGCUGAAAGGUUCAUUAAUGAUAUGCCCAUUGAACCUGAUUCUUUGGUGUGGGGAACACUGCUUGCUGCCUGCAAGGUACAUGGGGAUAUUGAGCUUGGAAAGCGAGCAGCUGCAAAGGUCAUGGAGUUGGAGCCAUAUGAUGCUGGUGCUUACAUCUCCAUGUCUAAUAUUUGUGCAGAUGUGGGUCAGUGGGAAGAAGUCCUGAAGAUUAGGAGUCAAAUGAAGGGAAUUGGAGUAAUGAAAGAACCUGGCUGGAGCUUUUUGUGACGAUAAUUAUGCUGUGCAAAGCGGAUGCAAGGAAACAAAGAAUGAUGUAUUUAAGGGACUAGGUUAGCUGCCUAAAAGCCAAGAAUUACUUUGCAUUACAUUGAGCCACAGGAAGACGAUAUUUUCUAAGUCCAGAGUUUUGAGAGUUCAAUAUUCAUCGAAUGCAGGGGAAAGUCCAUCUUAGACCUGUGCGGUUCGGAACACUGAAGGGUGAUUAGAGAACCAGCUCAGGCUAAUGAAACUUGGCAAAGUUUGUAAACAGCAUUUUGCAGUAGAUUUUGCUAUCAGAUAAGUUCAAGUUACUUUAACGGCAUAGCUGUACUAUCGCAAACACAUGAUCAAGUUAAAGGCAAAUGUUCUUGGAAAAUGUUAUAGAUCCGACAUAUGGUUGUUUCUCGGCCCCGGGGGGGGGGGGGAGAUAAUAAAUCAAAAACCUUUUUGGAACGGUUUUUGUUAUUUUUUGGCAUCUUUAUUUCUUCCAAAAAAAAAAAAAAAACAUUUGUAUAAAUAAUUAUUAACAUAUUACAUUUACAUAAAAUCCCCACGAGCCAUAAAUCUUAUAAAAAACCCCACGAGCCAUAAAUCAUUAUUCUAAAACAAUUAAACAUAUACACAUAUAUAAAAGCCAAAUCUGCAAUCCAAUCCCUCAUCCGAACUCUCUUUCCGAGUUGAUUGUGGCUCAUCUCAAU